rnacentral:rRNA from 1 species
AGUAAAUAGAUACCCAGGUAGUCCACGCCGUAAACGAUGAGUACUAGGCGUAGGAGGUAUCGACUCCUUCUGUGCCGCAGUUAAACACAAUAAGUACUCCGCCUGGGAAGUACGGUCGCAAGAUUAAAAACUCAAAGGAAUUGACGGGGGCCCGCACAAGCAGCGGAGCAUGUGGUUUAAUUCGAAGCAACGCGAAGAACCUUACCUAGACUUGACAUCCCCUGAAUAACGUAGAGAUACGCGAAGCCCUUCGGGGCAGGGAGACAGGUGGUGCAUGGUUGUCGUCAGCUCGUGUCGUGAGAUGUUGGGUUAAGUCCCGCAACGAGCGCAACCCUUAUCAUUAGUUGCUACCAUUUAGUUGAGCACUCUAGUGAGACUGCCCGGGUUAACCGGGAGGAAGGCGGGGAUGACGUCAAAUCAUCAUGCCCCUUAUGUCUAGGGCUACACACGUGCUACAAUGGUGAGAACAACGAGAUGCAAUACCGCGAGGUGGAGCAAAACUUCAAAACUCAUCUCAGUUCGGAUUGUAGGCUGAAACUC